rnacentral:rRNA from 1 species
GACAGAGGGGGCAAGCGUUGCUCGGAAUUACUGGGCGUAAAGAGCGUGUAGGCGGCCAAGCAGGUCCGUUGUGAAAACUGGAGGCCUAACCUCCAGACGUCGACGGAAACCGCGUGGCUAGAGUCCGGAAGAGGAGAGUGGAAUUCCUGGUGUAGCGGUGAAAUGCGCAGAUAUCAGGAAGAACACCAAUGGCGAAGGCAGCUCUCUGGGACGGUACUGACGCUGAGACGCGAAAGCGUGGGGAGCGAACAGG